rnacentral:rRNA from 1 species
GAUGAACGCUAGCGGCAGGCCUAAUACAUGCAAGUCGAACGGGAUUAAGAGGCUUGCUUCUUAUGAGAGUGGCGCACGGGUGCGUAACACGUAUGCAACCUACCUUCAACUGGGGGAUAGCCUUCCGAAAGGGAGAUUAAUACCGCAUAAAAUAAUUGAGUGGCAUCACUUAAUUAUCAAACGUCAGGGUUGAAGAUGGGCAUGCGUCCGAUUAGUUAGUUGGUGAGGUAACGGCUCACCAAAGCUAAGAUCGGUAGGGGAUCUGAGAGGAUGGCCCCCCACACUGGUACUGGGACACGGCCCAGACUCCAACGGGAGGCAGCAGUAAGGAAUAUUGGUCAAUGGACGAAAGUCUGAACCAGCCAUGCCGCGUGCAGGAAGACGGUCCUCUGGAUUGUAAACUGCUUUUGUUAGGGAAGAAACUUCCGUACGUGUACGGGACUGACGGUACCUAAAGAAUAAGGAUCGGCUAACUCCGUGCCAGCCGCCGCAGUAAAAC